AUGUCAAAGUCAACAAGUCCUUGUUACUCAACAGAGGAUACAAGUUUCACAAAAUCUAAAAAACAAGAAUAUCACUAUUCAGAUCAUUGUAAACAUCACAGUGGAUUAUUAUUCAGAUGUACUUGCAUAAAAGUACUGUGCUGUCAAAAGUCACGAUAUCGGAUUUAUCUUCCAAGAGAACCUCCAGAUCAGUCUCUUAGUGACUUUAGCGAAUCCAAACUUGCGAGUCCACAUUUUCUUCACAUUGGUUAG